GAUGAAGAACGUAGCGAAAUGCGAUAAGUAGUGUGAAUUGCAGAAUUCAGUGAAUCAUCGAAUCUUUGAACGCACAUUGUGCCCCUUGGUAUUCCAUGGGGCAUGCCUGUUCGAGCGUCAUUUGUACCUUCAAGCUUUGCUUGGUGUUGGGUGUUUGUCCUGAGGGACUCGCCUUAAAGUAAUUGGCAGCCAGUGUUUGGUUUUGAAGCGCAGCACAAGUCGCGAUUCAAGGCUAUACACCAGCUUCCACAAGCCUUUUUCACUUUUGACCUCGGAUCAGGUAGGGAUACCCGCUGAACUUAAGCAUAUCAAUAAGCGGAGGA
rnacentral:misc_RNA from 1 species